rnacentral:rRNA from 1 species
UGGUCGAGUGAUCCUGCGCCGAAGAUUUCCGGGGCUAAAACUUACUACCGAAGCUACGGCAUCAGUAAUGAUGGGGAGGGGAGCUUCCCAUACGGGUUGAAGCAUGACCGUAAGGACAUGUGGACAGCAUGGGAGGGAGAAUGUUGGCAUGAGUAGCGAGAUGUGGGUGAGAAUCACACAGGCCGUAAACCCAAGGUUUCCAGGGGAAGGUUCGUCCGCCCUGGGUUAGUCGGGACCUAAGCUGAGGCCGAAAGG